UUUUAAGAGUAAAACUUUUCGUUCGAAUGAAAAAUUGAUUGAUUUGAAAGUUUUUUCUCAGUGUAAAAUUUUCAUUUUUACAGUGGAAGCUCUCAAAAUGAAAUUUAUAAAAUAAUCAAACACACUUCGAGAUUUCACAUUUUUUGGCAACUCUGGCAGGUAAAAAUAUCCAAACUGGCAUCCAACGACUAUAUCUGUCAGUGAAAGUUGUAAAAAAAAGAAAAUUCCCGCCGAACUCUCACAAAUUUUAUUUCUUCGAUUUGUUUAAUCAGUAAUUUCUUCGCAUUAUUGGCCAGUGAAAAGUGGACGAAGAAAGUGGACGUAAUGUCAGCAGCAGUAAGAAAUUCGUCGCAGAUUUCCGCAUGAACACAACACUAGGAUUGCCGCCUCCAGCAGCACCGUCAUCGUUCCCAUCCGAAAGUACUUUUCCCGUCGCUGGGAGGCGAGUUAUUUUCCGUACGGAACCAAGCUUGAGCUAGCGCUACAAACAUAGUGAUAUAACAGGCGAACGGCAAUGGACGUUCCUACAACGAUGCUGCAGCAGGAGAUGUGGAAAUUCGAGCAGAAAUGCAAAUGAUGGUGGUACGGGACAGUCGUAAUAGUGACGGGAUGAGAUAUCUACAUUGUCGAAGUGUAUCAACGAGAUUAAAAUUAGAGUCAGUGCAGUUUGGAAGAAAUAACUUUAUCCAAUAUCUGUAGUAGCCUGUCAAUUAAAAUGAGAUAAUAAAAAUGAAAUUAUUUAACUAAA